UACGUAGGUGGCGAGCGUUGUCCGAUUUACUGGGCGUAAAGAGCGCGCAGGCGGUCGUUCAAGUCGCGUGUGAAAGCCCCCGGCUCAACUGGGGAGGGUCACGCGAUACUGAUCGACUCGAAGGCAGGAGAGGGAAGUGGAAUUCCCGGUGUAGUGGUGAAAUGCGUAGAUAUCGGGAGGAACACCAGUGGCGAAGGCGACUACCUGGCCUGUUCUUGACGCUGAGGCGCGAAAGCUAGGGGAGCAAACGGGG
rnacentral:rRNA from 1 species